CCAGCAGCAGCAUUGGGUCAAAAAUCAAGCACUGUUUUAAAAGACUACGUUUUUACUACGAAAAAUCCAAGAGCUAAACUUGUUUUUGGGGGCACACACUUACAAGUUCAACCUUCACCAGUGGUAGCAGCAUUCAGUUCAAGAGGACCAAAUAGUUUAACACCAAAGAUUCUCAAACCGGAUUUAAUAGCUCCAGGUGUAAACAUUUUAGCCGGUUGGACCGGUGCAGUUGGUCCAACCGGCUUAGCUCUUGAUAAGAGGCACGUGAAUUUCAACAUUAUAUCGGGAACUUCCAUGUCAUGUCCUCACGCGAGUGGUUUAGCUGCUAUAGUUAAAGGUGCUUACCCCGAAUGGAGCCCUGCUGCUAUACGGUCAGCACUAAUGACCAC
rnacentral:lncRNA from 1 species